UAGCUUUGUCCUAAGUCGAACUUGUCUAAGUUUGACCAAGUCUAUAGGAAAAAAUAUUAACAUCUAUAAUAUCAAAUAAAUGCACAAUGAAAAUGUACUUCAUGGUCUAUCUAGUGAAACUAGUUUAAUGUUGAAAAUAUUUAUGCCUUUUUACAUAAAAUUGGUCAAAGAUAAAGAAGUUUGACUUAGGACAAAGCUAA
rnacentral:pre_miRNA from 1 species